AAGACCAUGCUUUUAAGGAUCAUUUCUUAAGUAUGUGUCGCAACGGCAUCCGAUUCUAUUGAGCGGAUCAACAUCACGAUGAUGUGAGAUUGUACUGAGUCCUGAGUGUGAAACAGGUUUUUCUCUAUCCUUCAUUCCUUGCCUCUUAACGAAUGUGAGAAAACCAUUGAGGAUCAUUCUUCAGAGGUUUAAUAACUUCUUAAAGAGGGACUCAAUACUUUCUGAGUGAU